UACGAAGGGGGCUAGCGUUGUUCGGAAUUACUGGGCGUAAAGAGCGCGUAGGCGGUUUGCCAAGUUGGGAGUGAAAGCCCGAAGCUUAACUUCGGAAUUGCUUUCAAAACUAGCGAACUAGAGAUCGGUAGGGGAUGGUGGAAUUCCUAGUGUAGAGGUGAAAUUCUUAGAUAUUAGGAGGAACACCUGUGGCGAAGGCGGCCAUCUGGGCCGAUACUGACGCUGAGGCGCGAAAGCGUGGGGAGCAAACAGG
rnacentral:rRNA from 1 species